UUGCUUCAGCAGCACAUAUACUAAAACUGGAAUGAUACAGAGAAGAUUAGCAUGGCUCUUGCUCAAGGAUGACAUGCAAAUUCGUGAAGUGUUCCAUAUUUUA
ensembl:snRNA U6 U6 spliceosomal RNA